rnacentral:rRNA from 1 species
CAGUCGCCACGGGAAUACGUAGGGUGCGAGCGUUAAUCGGAUUUACUGGGCGUAAAGCGUGCGCAGGCGGCCCGUUAAGACAGGUGUGAAAUCCCUGGGCUCAACCUAGGAAUUGCGCUUGUGACUGGCGGGCUCGAGUACGGUAGAGGGGGGCGGAAUUCCUGGUGUAGCAGUGAAAUGCGUAGAGAUGUGGAGGAAUACCGAUGGCGAAGGCAGCCCCCUGGGCCAAUACUGACGCUCAUGCACGAAAGCGUGGGGAGCAAACAGGAUUAGAUACCCGGGUAGUCCCUGUCUCUUAUAC